UAGAACCUAAAUGUAAAAUUAUUCAUUAAUUUUAUAAAGUGAAUAAGUAUUGUUGGAUAUCUUAAAAUAAUAUAAUGAACAACUAUUAUAGGACGGAGUGAGUAUCAAAUAGAGAAAGUACUUUCUAAUAUGCUCUUUCUACACUUCUUUUCCUUCUCUUUUUGCAUUGGGCAACAGCAUAAUACCAUCCUAUAAAGUAACUUUUUCCUUUUUCUUUUCUC
rnacentral:lncRNA from 1 species